AGCAGCCGCGGUAAUUCCAGCUCCAAUAGCGUAUAUUAAAGUUGUUGCAGUUAAAAAGCUCGUAGUUGAAUUUCGGGAUCAAUACGUCGGUCGUGCCUCUGGUAUGUACUGGUGUUAUUGAUUUCUCCCUUCUGAUGAACCAUGAUGUUAUUAAUUUGGUGUUGUGGGGAGUCAGGACUGUUACUUUGAAAAAAUUAGAGUGUUUAAAGCAGGCCUACGCUUGAAUACAUUAGCAUGGAAUAAUGAAAUAGGACGUUCGAACCUAUUUUGUUGGUUUCUAGGAUCAACGUAAUGAUUAAUAGGGAUAGUUGGGGGCAUUAGUAUUCAAUUGUCAGAGGUGAAAUUCUUGGAUUUAUUGAAGACUAACUACUGCGAAAGCAUUUGCCAAGGAUGUUUUCAUUAAUCAAGAACGAAAGUUAGGGGAUCGAAGACGAUCAGAUACCGUCGUAGUCUUAACCAUAAACUAUGCCGACUAGGGAUCGGAUGAUGUUAAUUUUUAAUGACUCAUUCGGCGCCUUAA
rnacentral:rRNA from 1 species